GGACACGUGACCGAGAGGCCGAUGGUGCCUCCCUGCUAAGGAGGUAGGGGCGUCACAGCCCCUCGCGAGUUCGAAUCUCGCCGUGUCCGCCA
rnacentral:tRNA from 1 species